GGACUGCAGCUGCCCGAUGCAUGUGCAUCGUGCGUGCCUCACCUCCAUCUGCAGUUGGAGAGAGAGAUGGACUGGCGCCUCCGACGCGCUGGUCGACGCCGCGGCCGCCGCUCCCGCCCCUGCCGUCCGCGAGCCCGGGUGCACGGUGGCGCUCACGGACCUCCACCGUUGCCUCCACGCCUUCAGCGAGUCCUGCGACCGAGCCGAGGGCCUCGUCCAGGCGGCCGCCAGCGGCCUCGGCCCCGCCGCCUCCCGCCACGACGAGCUGUGUCGCGCCGUGCGCGCGGUGGACAAGGAUCUCUAGGCCGCCGCCGCAGGCCGGGAGGAGAACGAGAUGGAAGAGGAGAAGACUCGCCCUCCGACCACGCCGCUGGCGGCCGAGGACAAAUAGCCCAAUCGAUCUACCUCGUCUCCUGUUGAGGUGAUGUUCAUCAUUCUUGUUUUUUCCGUGUGAUGUUCAUCGUUCCUCUUAUUUUCUUGGUUGAUGUGCUAAUCGUGUUAGUCAUCUAGAAGAAAGGAGAGAUGGACUGGGAUAUUUUACCUCGCCGUGAUGCAUGGUGGCCGAGAUGCGGCAGCCCCAUGCUCUGUUCCGAUGGGCCUCCUCUGCUCGAUGUUUGCCGCUGGUUGAGUUUGGUACGGUUUCCUGUUGUCGCUUGCGUCGAGCCUUGGGUCCGUCUCUCCUUCGUUGAGCCUACUUCUCCUGUUGCUGGCGCUUCUUCUUCUCGUCCGUCCUACUGCUUACCCAACGUGCUUCUGCUUGCUGCCUCGGGUUGUACGAUCUCUUCUGUCGCUGUGUCGAUCGACUCAUCAAGGUUUUCUUCUUUCCUUUCUACUACAUGUGUGUGUGUUUUACUUUCAGUAUCUUCUGUGUCAUGCUGUCUGCCUUGGUGAUCUUUUAAAUAUCUGUAUGUCGUGCUGGUCGUUUAAAUGUUCCGGAUAUGGUCAGGCGUUGUGUGUUUUUCGUUCUCGUGCUGCUUAUAUUUCGUGUAUGCGUGUGAGCAGGAUUUGUCCGCUUGUUUCCGUUGUUAUACCUAUUUUGGAGGUCAUGGUAACUCGAUGCCCCCCGUGCUCACUCUUUCUGUUGUACAUAGAAGCAUAUUUGUCCAAUUCUCAGACUAAUUUUUUUGAAAGAAACCGCAGUUCAUUACAACGCCAAUUAUGGAUAUGGAUCCAUCUUGCUGCGCUGGAUGAAGGACUGGAUGCAAUAAGAAUUGCAUGUGACAAUUGCUCAUGAAUAGUAUUUGUUGUACAAACAUCCAGUUAAUUCUUGAGAUACAAUAGAGACACUAUAAUAGUACUACUUUAGUCAAAUACAUUAUCCACUGAUUGUUGUAGUGAAAUGUCGCUCUAGCUAUUAAUUUGCAGAAUCUUGCACGACAAACUAUAGGCAUGUGAUCUCUAUGGUGUUCCAGUAAAUAAAGAAAACUGGAACAUGUGCCUUCAAAUUUUCUAUUUAUAUACAAAAACCAUGCAUUGGUACAUAUGAACCAUAUGAAUAGGACUUAUCUAUUUUUUUGUCAUGUUUGUGAGUUUUCUGUUAUUUCCUCUCAGUGUGAAUAGGACUGAAGAAGAUGGACAUAGCCCUUUAGGUAAUUUCACUUUUUUUGAACAGCAAACCGUAGAACAAUAGUUCUAUGGUAUAUUAUAUUUUCAUUAAAAAAACAGUAUGUUACAAAGGGAAAGGAGAAAAUAGAAACAAAAGAAAAAAGAUCUAAGCUAAUGGGGCAGAGCCCUUAUCCAAUUUCAGUUUUGGGCAACAUGAGAAUCAUUUUAAAAUUGAUCUGACAGCCUGCUUGAACAAGGUGGAAUUAGUGCUCGUCUUUGAUCUUGUGUUGAAGUAGUUGAAGAUCCUUUUUUAAUUCAAGCCUCCAAUUUGAGAUUGUCGGCUGGAUGUUUCUGAAGACCUUGCCAUCUCACUUUGUCCUGGAUUAAUAACAGAUUACAAAUUUAUUUGUUUAAAUAGGACAGGUUAUUUACGAAGGUAUACCAUUUCUAUUGACUGGAUAAUUUACAUGUUGGCAAGGACUUAUUGGUGCAGCCUGGUCAUAAUUGCUCGGCCAAUUUCCCAACCCAAAUCCAGAACCGCUUCAUCUUUAGAUCUUUACAUGAUUGAUGAAAUGCCUUAGAGACUAAGAUCUGUACUUUGUUUCUCUCCGUUCUCCUGCUCACGGAUUAACCGAUGGCUGUAAGACCCAGAGAAGCAUUAGGAACUGGUCUGCAGUGUCUUCUAGUGUAUGCGUACACACAAUUCACUUUCCUUUUCUUUUUGCCCUUUGCAUAGAUGGUGUGCUUGAGUUACAAAGCCUCUUCUUGCGGUGUUGUCUGCAAGGCCGAAGGGAUGUUUUUAAUGCAUUUGAGCUGCUCUAUCUGAUUGUUCAUCUCCUGAACCUGUUUUAGUUGAUAUAAAAGUGCUCUCUAUUUCAGAAAGCCACAACACGAGAUUGUGUUCCCUCUUGCUCCAGGUGCAUGUUGCUGCCCUCCUUUCCCCUCUGAUUUGACUUGCUUUACCUUGUGUGAAGUUUUAUACUUUCAACUUUACAAAGCUAUAUCAAGUUCGCUUUCAACUGUACUUGGCUACACCUGUAACAUGAUGCAUUUCUCUUUCAGUUUAUUGAAUGCAUUUUGAAGGAGUGAAUGCUCUAUCUGGUACUGGCCUAUGACUCAUUUAACAGCUAUUCCUCAUGUUGCAACCUUUUCCCGUAGAAUUGAAAGGAAGAUGGAAGAAAUUGUAGGAAGAAUGGUGUUCCCAGCGUGACAUUCAAAACCAGUCAAGACUAUAAAGGGGCUGUGAAGGAAAAAAUGCUAUGGAUCCAUAGUGGGAGGGGAGAGUUACCAACAAUGUAUCAAGGAUAAACCGUGACAUGGAUUCCUAAGUUCCAACUUACAUAGCAAAAUUAUAUAGGGAGAAUGCUCGCAUUUUGAAAACUCUAUUACAUAGUUUGAAGCUAUGUUUCUUUCAAUUUUCAUUAUUAAAAGGAUCCUUAUUAUUGCCAAUUUGUCAAGCAUUUAUUGUCGAAUAACUCUUUGUUUCAAAUGAGACCUGUGGCGCAAGGGGUAAAUUUAUUAUACAUCUUAUCGUA